rnacentral:tRNA from 1 species
CGGGGUAUAGCUCAGUGGUAGAGUGCGUGCUUAGCAUGCCAAGGUCCUGGGUCCAAUCCUCAGUACCUCCA